rnacentral:rRNA from 1 species
UACGGGGGGGGCAAGCGUUGUUCGGAAUUACUGGGCGUAAAGGGCUCGUAGGCGGCCAACUAAGUCAGACGUGAAAUCCCUCAGCUUAACUGGGGAACUGCGUCUGAUACUGGAUGGCUUGGAUUCGGGAGAGGAAUGCGGAAUUCCAGGUGUAGCGGUGAAAUGCGUAGAUAUCUGGAGGAACACCGGUGGCGAAGGCGGCAUUCUGGACCGACAUUGACGCUGAGGAGCGAAAGCCAGGGGAGCAAACGGG